GGAGCAGCCCAGAGCCUGAAUCAGUGUGUGUGUUAGUGGAAGCGUCUGGAAAGGCGUGCGAUACAGGGUGACAGCCCCGUACACAAAAAUGCACAUACUGUGAGCUCGAUGAGUAGGGCGGGACACGUGGUAUCCUGUCUGAAUAUGGGGGGACCAUCCUCCAAGGCUAAAUACUCCUGACUGACCGAUAGUGAACCAGUACCGUGAGGGAAAGGCGAAAAGAACCCCGGCGAGGGGAGUGAAAAAGAACCUGAAACCGUGUACGUACAAGCAGUGGGAGCACGCUUAGGCGUGUGACUGCGUACCUUUUGUAUAAUGGGUCAGCGACUUAUAUUCUGUAGCAAGGUUAACCGAAUAGGGGAGCCGAAGGGAAACCGAGUCUUAACUGGGCGUUAAGUUGCAGGGUAUAGACCCGAAACCCGGUGAUCUAGCCAUGGGCAGGUUGAAGGUUGGGUAACACUAACUGGAGGACCGAACCGACUAAUGUUGAAAAAUUAGCGGAUGACUUGUGGCUGGGGGUGAAAGGCCAAUCAAACCGGGAGAUAGCUGGUUCUCCCCGAAAGCUAUUUAGGUAGCGCCUCGUGAAUUCAUCUCCGGGGGUAGAGCACUGUUUCGGCAAGGGGGUCAUCCCGACUUACCAACCCGAUGCAAACUGCGAAUACCGGAGAAUGUUAUCACGGGAGACACACGGCGGGUGCUAACGUCCGUCGUGAAGAGGGAAACAACCCAGACCGCCAGCUAAGGUCCCAAAGUCAUGGUUAAGUGGGAAACGAUGUGGGAAGGCCCAGACAGCCAGGAUGUUGGCUUAGAAGCAGCCAUCAUUUAAAGAAAGCGUAAUAGCUCACUGGUCGAGUCGGCCUGCGCGGAAGAUGUAACGGGGCUAAACCAUGCACCGAAGCUGCGGCAGCGACGCUUAUGCGUUGUUGGGUAGGGGAGCGUUCUGUAAGCCUGUGAAGGUGUGCUGUGAGGUAUGCUGGAGGUAUCAGAAGUGCGAAUGCUGACAUAAGUAACGAUAAAGCGGGUGAAAAGCCCGCUCGCCGGAAGACCAAGGGUUCCUGUCCAACGUUAAUCGGGGCAGGGUGAGUCGACCCCUAAGGCGAGGCCGAAAGGCGUAGUCGAUGGGAAACAGGUUAAUAUUCCUGUACUUGGUGUUACUGCGAAGGGGGGACGGAGAAGGCUAUGUUGGCCGGGCGACGGUUGUCCCGGUUUAAGCGUGUAGGCUGGUUUUCCAGGCAAAUCCGGAAAAUCAAGGCCGAGGCGUGAUGACGAGGCACUACGGUGCUGAAGCAACAAAUGCCCUGCUUCCAGGAAAAGCCUCUAAGCAUCAGGUAACAUCAAAU
rnacentral:rRNA from 1 species